rnacentral:lncRNA from 1 species
CGAAUCAUGGGUUAGGCUUGGAGGAAGAUCGUAUUUAUAAUUUUCCUCCUUUUGGAGGAUUCUGCUCAUGUAAGUUUCUUCAAAGGUUUUUAGUUGGGCCGGUUUGCAUGUUUGGUUUAGCAUCAAUUCGAAACUGCGUAUAAAUAUUACUAGUAUUUUGGAAGUAGUUAUUUCAGAAUUUAAUAGUUUUAAAAUAUAAUAACACAAUGAUGUAAUCAAGCUAUUUUAAUUAUGUGUUUAAUUGUGAUACACAGAAAAUGUAAAAUUUAACGGCUUGUCAAAUCUUUGGCUGGAUCACUGGAUAAACUUAUUUUAUAUUAUGAUUGCAUAGAUUUUUUUUUUUUUUUGUAUAGAAUACUUUAUUCUUCUUCAUUAAUCACAAUUUUUUGUAAUUCAAUAAAAAAAUUUAUUUUAUUUCUUUAAUCAAUCCUCCAUUAGUUAAUAUUUGAUAUCAAAUUCAUAUUUUUUUUUUCAAAAAAUAUUUCAUUAAAGACAAUAAAUACGCCAGAGUGAUAAUAAAUAAAACGUUGAAAUAAUUAUUUUAACUUAACUUACAGUUUUUUAAGAGAGAAUUAUGAGUUUAAUUGUGAAUAAUUGUAUAAAAUAAUCUUAUGUGAUUAUUUAAUCACAAAUAAUACACACAUGAAAAAAAAAAUCACAAAUAAUAUAAUUUUUAAGAUUAUUUUAUAAAAAUAAAUAAAUUUUAUUAUAUAUGAUAAUUUAUGAUUAAAUAAUCAUAUAAUUUGAAUUUAAACUUUUAUUGCAAAAUAUUUUUUUAUUCAUUUUUAUCUAAAAUAUUUUAUUCAUUUUUGUUAAUCAAAUUAAUAUUUUUUUCUUAAAAUAAUUUCAUAAAAGACAAAAUAGUUGCGCUAGAUUGACAAUAGAAAAUGUUAAAAUAUAUUUUUUAAUUCAACUUGUAGUUUUAUAACAAAAUACUUGAAAAAUUUAAAUGCAGUGAUUCGUAACUGACAACAGUAGGUCGGCGACGACAGAUACCUGAGCGCCCUCCCUCCCAUGGCACUCAAAAUCUCAAGCCAAAAUCCCGCAACAACUUGGAGUUCUGCCUCGCCGGUGACGACUAGAGCGAAAAAACUGACAUAGCAACGCUGGUUCCAAAAUUAGAGCGACGAAACAACGUUGUUUUUUGCUUGUUCUCUGCCAUCGAUUAAAAUAAAAAUGGAACCUUUUUAAAGGGUAUGUAUCUAGCAGCUCCAAGAAUCUGGAAAUUUGGGAAACGUUGAUAAAUCUAACGUUUAAGAUGAUUAUAACCCCUGUAUAUCCAACUGAAAAUGAAGACCCAUUUCAAAGAAAACAAAGAGGAACCGUUACAGAAAACCAAACACCCAAUUGAAAACAAAGACAAUUAAAUACUCAUUUGAAAACGAAGAAAAAGCCCAUUCGCAUGUCACUUGUCAGGUCUCGACAACGGCAGAAGAACCUCUUCAUCGCCUUCUCCAACCAUCGAACAGUUGUGGUAGAGAAAGGGGCUGAAUCUAAUGCAGAGGGUGUAGGAAUUAGAUGAAUCUAGUGGUUCUUAAAAAUGGUCCACCGUGGAACAUAUGAACUACU